rnacentral:rRNA from 1 species
GAUGAACGCUGACAGAAUGCUUAACACAUGCAAGUCAACUUGAACUUCGGUUUGGGUGGCGGACGGGUGAGUAACGCGUAAAGAACUUGCCUCACAGAUAGGGACAACAUUUGGAAACGAAUGCUAAUACCUGAUAUUAUGAUUUUAGGGCAUCCUAGAAUUAUGAAAGCUAUAUGCGCUGUGAGAGAGCUUUGCGUCCCAUUAGCUAGUUGGAGAGGUAACGGCUCACCAAGGCGAUGAUGGGUAGCCGGCCUGAGAGGGUGAUCGGCCACAAGGGGACUGAGACACGGCCCUUACUCCUACGGGAGGCAGCAGUGGGGAAUAUUGGACAAUGGACCAAGAGUCUGAUCCAGCAAUUCUGUGUGCACGAUGAAGUUUUUCGGAAUGUAAAGUGCUUUCAGUUGGGAAGAAAAAAAUGACGGUACCAACAGAAGAAGUGACGGCUAAAUACGUGCCAGCAGCCGCGGUAAUACGUAUGUCACAAGCGUUAUCCGGAUUUAUUGGGCGUAAAGCGCGUCUAGGUGGUUAUGUAAGUCUGAUGUGAAAAUGCAGGGCUCAACUCUGUAUUGCGUUGGAAACUGUAUAACUAGAGUACUGGAGAGGUAAGCGGAACUACAAGUGUAGAGGUGAAAUUCGUAGAUAUUUGUAGGAAUGCCGAUGGGGAAGCCAGCUUACUGGACAGAUACUGACGCUAAAGCGCGAAAGCGUGGGUAGCAAACAGG